rnacentral:rRNA from 1 species
AGAGUUUGAUCAUGGCUCAGGACGAACGCUGGCGGCGUGCUUAACACAUGCAAGUCGAGCGGAAAUAUAUUGAAGAUUCGUCGGAUAUAUAUUUUAGCGGCGGACGGGUGAGUAACGCGUGGGCAAUCUGCCUCACACAGGGGAAUAACACUGGGAAACUAGUGCUAAUACCGCAUAAUAUAACGAAGCGGCAUCGCUUUGUUAUCAAAGGAGCAAUCCGGUGUGAGAUGAGCCCGCGUCCGAUUAGCUAGUUGGUGGGGUAACGGCCCACCAAGGCGACGAUCGGUAGCCGAACUGAGAGGUUGAUCGGCCACAUUGGGACUGAGACACGGCCCAGACUCCUACGGGAGGCAGCAGUGGGGAAUAUUGCGCAAUGGGGGAAACCCUGACGCAGCAACGCCGCGUGAAGGAUGAAGGUUUUCGGAUUGUAAACUUCUUUGAUUGGGGACGAUAAUGACGGUACCCAAAAAACAAGCCACGGCUAACUACGUGCCAGCAGCCGCGGUAAUACGUAGGUGGCAAGCGUUGUCCGGAAUUACUGGGUGUAAAGGGCGUGUAGGCGGGGAUGCAAGUCAGAUGUGAAAUUCUGGGGCUCAACCCCAGCGCUGCAUCUGAAACUGUAUCUCUUGAGUGCUGGAGAGGAAAGCGGAAUUCCUAGUGUAGCGGUGAAAUGCGUAGAUAUUAGGAGGAACACCAGUGGCGAAGGCGGCUUUCUGGACAGUAACUGACGCUGAGGCGCGAAAGCGUGGGGAGCGAACAGGAUUAGAUACCCUGGUAGUCCACGCCGUAAACGAUGGAUACUAGGUGUAGGAGGUAUCGACCCCUUCUGUGCCGGAGUUAACACAAUAAGUAUCCCACCUGGGGAGUACGGCCGCAAGGUUGAAACUUAAAUGAAUUGACGG